rnacentral:rRNA from 1 species
GGCCACUGCUAUGGGGGUCCGACUAAGCCAUGCGAGUCAUGGGGCGCGCUCUGCGCGCACCGGCGGACGGCUCAGUAACACGUCGGUAACCUACCCUCGGGAGGGGGAUAACCCCGGGAAACUGGGGCUAAUCCCCCAUAGGCCUGAGGUACUGGAAGGUCCUCAGGCCGAAAGGGGCUUUGCCCGCCCGAGGAUGGGCCGGCGGCCGAUUAGGUAGUUGGUGGGGUAACGGCCCACCAAGCCGAAGAUCGGUACGGGCCAUGAGAGUGGGAGCCCGGAGAUGGACACUGAGACACGGGUCCAGGCCCUACGGGGCGCAGCAGGCGCGAAACCUCCGCAAUGCGGGCAACCGCGACGGGGGGACCCCCAGUGCCGUGGCAUCGCCACGGCUUUUCCGGAGUGUAAAAAGCUCCGGGAAUAAGGGCUGGGCAAGGCCGGUGGCAGCCGCCGCGGUAAUACCGGCGGCCCGAGUGGUGGCCGCUAUUAUUGGGCCUAAAGCGUCCGUAGCCGGGCCCGUAAGUCCCUGGCGAAAUCCCACGGCUCAACCGUGGGGCUUGCUGGGGAUACUGCGGGCCUUGGGACCGGGAGAGGCCGGGGGUACCCCUGGGGUAGGGGUGAAAUCCUAUAAUCCCAGGGGGACCGCCAGUGGCGAAGGCGCCCGGCUGGAACGGGUCCGACGGUGAGGGACGAAGGCCAGGGGAGCGAACCGGAUUAGAUACCCGGGUAGUCCUGGCUGUAAAGGAUGCGGGCUAGGUGUCGGGCGAGCUUCGAGCUCGCCCGGUGCCGAAGGGAAGCCGUUAAGCCCGCCGCCUGGGGAGUACGGCCGCAAGGCUGAAACUUAAAGGAAUUGGCGGGGGAGCACUACAAGGGGUGGAGCGUGCGGUUUAAUUGGAUUCAACGCCGGGAACCUCACCGGGGGCGACGGCAGGAUGAAGGCCAGGCUGAAGGUCUUGCCGGACACGCCGAGAGGAGGUGCAUGGCCGCCGUCAGCUCGUACCGUGAGGCGUCCACUUAAGUGUGGUAACGAGCGAGACCCGCGCCCCCAGUUGCCAGUCCUCCCCGCUGGGGAGGAGGCACUCUGGGGGGACCGCCGGCGAUAAGCCGGAGGAAGGAGCGGGCGACGGUAGGUCAGUAUGCCCCGAAACCCCCGGGCUACACGCGCGCUACAAUGGGCGGGACAAUGGGAUCCGACCCCGAAAGGGGAAGGGAAUCCCCUAAACCCGCCCCCAGUUCGGAUCGCGGGCUGCAACUCGCCCGCGUGAAGCUGGAAUCCCUAGUACCCGCGUGUCAUCAUCGCGCGGCGAAUACGUCCCUGCUCCUUGCACACACCGCCCGUCACUCCACCCGAGCGGGGUCUGGAUGAGGCCUGAUCUCCCUUCGGGGAGGUCGGGUCGAGUCUGGGCUCCGUGAGGGGGGAG